rnacentral:rRNA from 1 species
GACGAACGCUGGCGGCGUGCUUAACACAUGCAAGUCGAGCGGUAAGGGCCCUUUCGGGGGUACACGAGCGGCGAACGGGUGAGUAACACGUGGGUGACCUGCCCUCAGCUCUGGGAUAAGCCUGGGAAACCGGGUCUAAUACCGGAUAUGACUCCAUGACGCAUGUUGUGGGGUGGGAAAGCCUUGUGCGGCUGAGGAUGGGGCCCGCGGCCUAUCAGCUUGUUGGUGGGGUAAUGGCCUACCAAGGCGACGACGGGUAGCCGGCCUGAGAGGGCGACCGGCCACACUGGGACUGAGACACGGCCCAGACUCCUACGGGAGGCAGCAGUGGGGAAUCUUGCGCAAUGGGCGAAAGCCUGACGCAGCGACGCCGCGUGAGGGAUGACGGCCU